GGCCCGUUCGUCUAUCGGCACAGGAUACCGCCCUUUCAAGGCGGCGAGAUGGGUUCGAUUCCCAUACGGGCUA
rnacentral:tRNA from 1 species